rnacentral:rRNA from 1 species
CAGCGGAUGACGGGAGCUUGCUCCUUGAUUCAGCGGCGGACGGGUGAGUAAUGCCUAGGAAUCUGCCUGGUAGUGGGGGACAACGUUUCGAAAGGAACGCUAAUACCGCAUACGUCCUACGGGAGAAAGCAGGGGACCUUCGGGCCUUGCGCUAUCAGAUGAGCCUAGGUCGGAUUAGCUAGUUGGUGGGGUAAUGGCUCACCAAGGCGACGAUCCGUAACUGGUCUGAGAGGAUGAUCAGUCACACUGGAACUGAGACACGGUCCAGACUCCUACGGGAGGCAGGAGUGGGGAAUUUUGGACAAUGGGCGAAAGCCUGAUCCAGCCAUGCCGGGUGUGUGAAGAAGGUCUUCGGAUUGUAAAGCACUUUAAGUUGGGAGGAAGGGCAGUAAGUUAAUACCUUGCUGUUUUGACGUUACCGACAGAAAAAGCACCGGCUAACUCUGUGCCAGCAGCC